GAAAGUUCUGGAAACCACGCAGCGCGGCCGCGUCCAGCAACUCAGAGGAAUGCUUGUGCCAAACAUCAAUAAAAUUCUGCGGUGAAGACAAUGACUGUGGAAGAUUUAUGGUGCAUUUCCCUUCAUAUUCAGAGCACAGAUCUUCAACGUACAAUGCCUGCACGUUUGAUUCUGGUUUCUCUGUGUGAGGAGCACCGCGUUUUUGGAAUAGAUCACCAGCAACAUUAAAGCAUCCAGUUCACCCUUGUGAGGACCGAAUAGUGGUUUCCAAACAAAGUACAGACACAUCAAGACUUUUUAUAACACCACAGAGGCAGACGUAGGCCAUUUGGCCCAUUGAGUCUGCUCUGACAAUCAAUCAUGGCUGGUCCUUUUUACAAAAUUUCAAAUAAGAUCUGUGUUUUGCUAAUUAGGUUAGAUUAGAUUACGAGGACACGCAGUCCUCUUUUAUUGUCAUUUAGUAAUGCAUGCAUUAAGAAAUGAUACAAUGUUCCUCCAGAAUGAUAUCACAGAAACACAUGACAAACUAAGACUAAAAAAACUGACAAAAACCACGUAAUUAUAACAUAUACUUACAACAGUGCAAAGCAGUGCUAUAAUUUGAUAACAGCAGACCAUGGGCACGGUAAAAAAAAGUCUCAAAGUCUCUCGAAAGUCCCAUCAUCUCACGCAGACGGUAGAAGGAAGAGAAACUCUCUUCCUGCCAUGAACCUCCAACACCGCAAACUUGCUGAUGCAGCACCCUGGAAGCACCCGACCACAGCCGACUCUUGAGUCUGUCCGAAAACUUCGAGCCUCCGACCAGCCCUCCGACACCGAGCACCGAGCACCAUCUCUGCCGAGCGCAAUGACAACUUUGCACUGAGAGUUGGA